rnacentral:rRNA from 1 species
AUGGUGGCACAACUCUGGGAGAAAUCCUUGUUCCGAUCUUCAUCGGAGCCGGCGACGGCGGCGCCCGCGGGUGUCGUUACCUUUCUUGAAAGCGUCGUCUUGGAGCUGUGCUCCUCCUCUCCACGGCAUUGGCUCCGGAGGGAAACCUCAGAUCAGCUGGAUCGGGCGAUGGGGGCGUCUUCGCGUCUUUCUCCUCCUUGGGGGCAUCGUCUCGGAGCCGGCUACGACUGGAGACCGGUGGAUGGCGGCAUCUUCGCUGCGUGGCUGGCUGAGGCGGGGCGUUGGUUUCUGUUUUGGCAACGAUGA